rnacentral:rRNA from 1 species
ACGAACGCUGGCGGCGUGCUUAACACCUGCAAGUCGAACGGUGAAGGGGUCUGCUUUUGUGGGCCCUGGAUGAGUGGCGAACGGGUGAGUAACACGUGAGUAACCUGUCCCCUUCUUCUGGAUAACCGCAUGAAAGUGUGGCUAAUACGGGAUAUUCUGGGUCUGUCGCAUGAUGGGUCUGGGAAAGAUUGCGCCUUUGGGUGUUUUUGGUGGGGGAUGGGCUCGCGGCCUAUCAGCUUGUUGGUGGGGUGAUGGCCUACCAAGGCGGUGACGGGUAGCCGGCCUGAGAGGGUGGACGGUCACACUGGGACUGAGACACGGCCCAGACUCCUACGGGAGGCAGCAGUGGGGAAUAUUGCACAAUGGGCGCAAGCCUGAUGCAGCGACGCCGCGUGAGGGAUGGAGGCCUUCGGGUUGUAAACCUCUUUCGCCAGUGAAGCAGGCCUGCUCCUUGUGGGUGGGUUGACGGUAGCUGGAUAAGAAGCGCCGGCUAACUACGUG